rnacentral:tRNA from 1 species
GCUGGGUUAGCUCAGUUGGUUGGAGCGUGGUGCUAAUAACACCAAGUUCACAGGUUCAAUCCCUGCUCACUGCA